rnacentral:tRNA from 1 species
UCCGAUGUAGUUCAACUGGUAGAACGCCGCUUUGGUAAAGUGGAGAUGACGGUUUUAAACCGGCUUUGGAUGA